AAAAAAAAAAAACCCCCCGGGGUUUUUUAAACCCGGGGGGGGGUUUUUAAAAAAAAAACCCCCCCGGGUUUAAAAAAAAAAAAAAAAAAAAAACCCCCCGGGGGGUUUAAACCCCCCCCCCGUUUUAAAAAAACCCCCCGGGGUUUUUUUUUUUUUUAACCCGGGGGGGUUUUAAACCCCCCGG
rfam:Angomonas deanei Cont944, whole genome shotgun sequence.